UAUAAGGGCCAAAUUGAAGGGGUUGGUUUUAACCGCCAAUUAGGGGUUUACCCCCUUAAAU
rnacentral:tRNA from 1 species